AGACGUAGGGGGCGAGCGUUGUCCGGGAAUUACUGGGCGUAAAGAGCACGUAGGCGGAUAUUUAAGUCAGGUGUGAAAGACCGCAGCUCAACUGCGGGGUUGCACCUGAAACAGGGUAUCUUGAGGGCAGGAGAGGGAAGUGGAAUUCCUGGUGUAGCGGUGAAAUGCGUAGAAAUCAGGAGGAACACCAGUGGCGAAGGCGACUUUCUGGACUGACCCUGACGCUGAGGUGCGAAAGCGUGGGUAGC
rnacentral:rRNA from 1 species